rnacentral:pre_miRNA from 1 species
AGGGGAAUAGCUGGGUCAAAUGGUGAUUCCAUUCCCAGCUUUCCAAGAAAUCUCCAUACUACUUUCCAAAUUGGCUGCACCAAUUUGCACUCCCACCAGCAAU